GUACAUGAAGGGAUCAUGAGAGCUCACAGCAAGAUGGCGGCUGCCUACAAGCCAGGAAAAGAGGCCUUGGGGUGAAACUUACCUUGCAGUACCUUGAUCUUGAACUUCUUACCCUCCAAAACUGUGAGGAAUACAUUUCUGUUGUCUAAGCCACCUGGUCUAUGGUACUUGGUUAUAGCAGCUCCUGCAGACUGAUACACUCCAGGUGGUGGGAUUCUGGGCAGCAACAAGGACCUGUGGGACGACGUUUGUCUGGGAGUGGAGAUGAGGCCCAAUGAGAGUCGGUGGCGUGUCUGAGGCUUACCGGUCCUUGAAGAGCAGGAGCUCCUUCCCCAGCAUUGUCACAGCGUCAAAGGAUGAGCUGGAGUCACAGAGGCAUCCAGGAAAAACUGAGCGAGUUCUUGUGAAACUGAAGUACACUGAAGGUGUUUGCUAUUUAAAGGUAUCUUCUGGUGGAUCGUCUUGGAAAACAUGGACCCAAAUCUUGCGAGAGCUAUCAGUGAGUCUCCUCUCCUGCUCUGCAUCUCUCAGGACUGUGUCCCAGCUCCAGAAGAAUGAGCCUGCACAGCUUGGACUGUCACCUCUGGCAGGUUCCUGCUCUUUGAUGAAGCCUCGUCAUAAUUACAGCUGUGCCAAAAUAUGUGCUUUGCCUCCUGGCUGAGUGACAGUGGCCAUCCGAAGGCAGUGACUUUCCAGGGCACAAGGACCUCCAAAGGCAAGUGUUUGAGCUCAGCCCUUCUCGGUGGCCCACAGGAAUCGCUUCCCAUUGGAACACUGCCACCAAGGCUCUGGAGCUGAGUUUGUGACAUGGAGACAUUCAUGGCAUUUUUCCUGUCCCUCAAGGGUCAGGCAGAUCUGGUGCUUUCCCCCUCCUGGAAAUGGAUAGAGCUGGCUGAAAGCUUCUUGGGAUGAAAUUUGUCUUUUGUGCCUCAGGUGAAAUCUGACUGAUUUUGAAUGGUGUGCCCAUUUCUGGGCUUCCCACCCUCCAGAUCCCCUGGGGCCAGAUUCCUAGCACCCCAGGAAGCUGUUGGGGGAUCUGGGUCUCUAGGCACUGAGAAGAUGGGGAGAAGCUCUGAUAAUCAGAAGCCUAAUAACCAGGUCUCCAGGGCUCAAAGGAAAAGCAAUUUCCUAGAUCUUUUUGCCUUUUAUCCAUUAAAGAAAAAUUGUCAAGGUCUAAGGAUGUUUCAAGAUUCCUUCUGAUGGAUUAAUUGGUUUGUUUUUCCCUUAAGGAAAAUUGGAUACAGAGUUUCUAAUAAUCCCUUAUUACCUUUUGGAAGAAUAUUAAUACUUGAGGUAACUUAUCUUAGGAUAUCUUAGGAUACUUACUGUCUUCAAACCUCAGCUUUCUCAGCUAUCAAAUGAGGAAAACAC
rnacentral:lncRNA from 1 species